rnacentral:rRNA from 1 species
GCGUGAGUGAAGAAGGCCUUAGGGUUGUAAAGCUCUUUCACCCGUGAAGAUGAUGACGGUAGCGGGAGAAGAAGCCCCGGCUAACUCCGUGCCAGCAGCCGCGGUAAUACGGAGGGGGCUAGCGUUGUUCGGAAUUACUGGGCGUAAAGCGCACGUAGGCGGCCUGUCAAGUUAGGCGUGAAAGGCCUGGGCUCAACCCGGGAACUGCGCUUAAGACUAACGGGCUAGAGUCCGGGAGAGGGCAGUGGAAUUCCCAGUGUAGAGGUGAAAUUCGU